rnacentral:rRNA from 1 species
CAAUAGCGUAUAUUAAAGUUGUUGCAGUUAAAAAGCUCGUAGUUGGAUUUCGGGGCAGCCUGGCUGGUCCGCCGCAAGGCGAGUACUGGUCAGCCGCCCUUCCUCUCGAAAGCCCCGACUGCUCUUUAUUGCAGUGGUCGGGUAGUUCGGGACGUUUACUUUGAAAAAAUUAGAGUGUUCAAGGCAGGCCUACGCCUGAAUACAUUAGCAUGGAAUAAUGGAAGAGGACCUCGGUCCUAUUUUGUUGGUUUCCAGGACCGAAGUAAUGAUUAAGAGGGACAGUUGGGGGCAUUCGUAUUUAAUUGUCAGAGGUGGAAUUCUCGGAUUUAUGAAAGACGAACAACUGCGAAAGCAUUUGCCAAGGAUGUUUUCAUUAA